rnacentral:rRNA from 1 species
GACGAACGCUGGCGGCGUGCUUGACACAUGCAAGUCGAGCGGGAUCCAACCGGUGGCAACACCGGGGAAGAUCUAGCGGCGAACGGGUGAGUAACACGUGAGCAACCUGCCCCGAAGGCUGGGAGUAACACCGGGAAACCGGUGCUAAUACCGGAUGUCGUCAUUAGGCCGCAUGACCUGAUGAUGAAAGGAUUCAUCGCUUCGGGAGGGGCUCGCGGGCUAUCAGCUUAUUGGUGGGGUAACGGCCUACCAAGGCGACGACGGCUAGCUGGUCUGAGAGGACGACCAGCCACACUGGGACUGAGACACGGCCCAGACUCCUACGGGAGGCAGCAGUGGGAAUCUUGCGCAAUGGGCGAAAGCCUGACGCAGCAACGCCGCGUGGGGG